AUUGAACGCUGGCGGCAGGCCUAACACAUGCAAGUCGAGCGGCAGCGGGUUCCCGCGAGGGGAUGCCGGCGAGCGGCGGACGGGUGAGGAACACAUCGGAAUCUGCCUGGUUGUGGGGGAUAACGUAGGGAAACUUACGCUAAUACCGCAUGCGACCCUGAGUCGACGGACUGGGGGUGAAAGUGAGGGACCUUCGGGCCUCACGCGACCAGAUGAGCCGAUGUCGGAUUAGCUAGGUUGGCGGGGUAACGGCCCGCCAAGGCGACGAUCCGUAGCUGGUCU
rnacentral:rRNA from 1 species